UACGUAGGAGGCGAGCGUUGUCCGGAGUUACUGGGCGUAAAGGGUGCGUAGGCGGCCGCGCGCGUGGCGGGUGAAAUCUACUCGGCUUACCCGGGAGGGUGCUUGCCAGACGGCGGUGGCUUGAGGGACGGAGAGGGGCGUGGAAUUCCGGGUGGAGCGGUGAAAUGCGUAGAGAUCCGGAGGAACACCGACGGCGUAGGCAGCGCCCUGGCCGUUUCCUGACGCUGAUGCACGAAAGCUGGGGGGAGCAAACAGG
rnacentral:rRNA from 1 species